rnacentral:misc_RNA from 1 species
GAUGAAGAACGCAGCGAAAUGCGAUACGUAAUGUGAAUUGCAGAUUUCAGUGAAUCAUCGAAUCUUUGAACGCACAUUGCGCCCGCUAGUAUUCUGGCGGGCAUGCCUGUUCGAGCGUCAUUUCAACCAUCAAGCCCUAGGCUUGCGUUGGAGCCCUGCGGCUGCCGCAGGCUCCCAAAUCCAGUGGCGGGCUCGUCGUCGUACCGAGUGCAGUAAACAUCCUCGCUCAGGGAACGUGACGGGUUCUUGACGUGAAACCCCCCACAUAUCAAGGUUGACCUCGGAUCAGGUAGGAAUACCCGCUGAACUUAAGCAUAUCAAUAAGCGGAGGA